AGCGAACGCUGGCGGCAGGCCUAACACAUGCAAGUCGAACGAACUCUUCGGAGUUAGUGGCGGACGGGUGAGUAACACGUGGGAACGUGCCUUUUGGUUCGGAAUAACUCAGGGAAACUUGUGCUAAUACCGAAUGUGCCCUUCGGGGGAAAGAUUUAUCGCCAUUAGAGCGGCCCGCGUCUGAUUAGCUAGUUGGUGAGGUAACGGCUCACCAAGGCGACGAUCAGUAGCUGGUCUGAGAGGAUGACCAGCCACACUGGGACUGAGACACGGCCCAGACGCCUGCGGGAGGCAGCAGUGGGGACUCUUGCGCAAUGGGCGAAAGCCUGACGCAGCCAUGCCGCGUGAAUGAUGAAGGUCUUAGGAUUGUAAAAUUCUUUCACCGGGGACGAUAAUGACGGUACCCGGAGAAGAAGCCCCGGCUAACUUCGU
rnacentral:rRNA from 1 species